UACGGAGGGGGCUAGCGUUGUUCGGAAUUACUGGGCGUAAAGCGCGCGUAGGCGGACCUGCAAGUCGGGGGUGAAAGCCCGAGGCUCAACCUCGGAACUGCCCUUCGAUACUGCGGUCGUCGAGUCCGGGAGAGGUGAGUGGAAUUCCGUAGUGUAGAGGUGAAAUUCGUAGAUAUUAGGAAGAACACCAGUGGCGAAGGCGGGCU
rnacentral:rRNA from 1 species